UACGGAGGGUGCGAGCGUUGUCCGGAAUCAUUGGGCGUAAAGGGCGCGUAGGUGGCCCGGUCAGCGUGCGGUGAAAGCUCGGGGCUCAACCCCGAGUCGGCCGUGCGAACUACUGGGCUCGAGCACUGUAGAGGCAGGCGGAAUUCCGGGUGUAGCGGUGGAAUGCGUAGAGAUCCGGAAGAACACCGGUGGCGAAGGCGGCCUGCUGGGCAGUAGCUGACACUGAGGCGCGACAGCGUGGGGAGCAAACCGG
rnacentral:rRNA from 1 species